GCAAAUUGCUCCUGAUGCUGAAUUUGUGGUUGAUGGCGUCUCCAGAUUUGACUUUGGUCAAGGUGUACUUGGAAACUGCUGGUUUCUUGCAUCAAUCGGCGCACUGACUUUCCAGAAUCACAUUUUUGAACAAGUUGUUCCGCUCGACCAAAAAAUCAAAGAGAACUACUGUGGCAUUUUUCACUUCAGGUUCUGGAGAUUCGGGCGGUGGGUGGACGUCGUCAUUGAUGACAAGUUGCCGACGAUCAAUGGCAGACUAAUCUUUGUUCACUCCAAAGAUCCAAAUGAGUUCUGGCCUGCUCUGCUGGAGAAAGCUUAUGCCAAGGUUUGUGGUUCCUACACCGACAUGACUUCUGGAACUCCUUCAG